rnacentral:lncRNA from 1 species
AUGUGUUUGAAGGUCAGCUUUCCGGCUGGGUUACUCUUUAUCUUGGAGCCCACCUUUAACUCUGGCAUGAGUGUCCUUCUCUGUGUGGCUGAUUUGCAAGGCUGGUUUUUAGUGGAGGCGAGCACCUUGGGGAGGAUGAACACUUUACCCAGGCUGGAGGACAUGGGGACCCCAGGAGUCCAGGAGGAUAUUUCAUCUGAACCAAGUCCGGGGGAGGACAUUCUGGAGAGGGAAGACAUGAAGGCAAGAAGAGCAUGUCAUCUUCUGGGUGCAAGUAAUUCCACGUGCUCCUUUAGAAGCAGAGUGACGGGAGCAGAAAGGGGCAGGAGUUGGAUGGACCAGGCAACACACAUGAAGGUGUUUUCAAAGAUCUCAUGCCCAGUUUCAUCUCUCCAGUGGGGUUUUGAAUCUUUGGCUAGUUCCAGUGUUUGUAUGAUGUCAUUACCUGAGCAGGUCACCUCCAAGGUCUGCGGGAGAUGGAUAGAACCAGCAUAGUUCUGCAACUUAACAAUCUGUGCAAACUAGAACCUUUUAUUGUCCUCACUGAGCCUCCUUCAUCAAGUCUUUCAUUGAGCACCUCUGAUGUGGCAGUCAGUGUUCCAUGCAGAGGGGAUACAGCUAUAAACAAGGUAUCAGAUCUUGGGAAGCUUAUAUUCCGGAGGGGAAGACAGACAACAAACAAAUAAUCUAGGAAAGCACCAGACUGUGAUGAGCAUCAUGUAGCAACGAUGGCUUGUGUCCUCCUUAUAUGCUUCCACUGGGUCUUGUGCGUUUUCUCCAAUUUUCUUUAGUACCCUCUAAUUGUUUGUGUAUUUAUUUCCUCCAUUAGAAUGUAAGUUUAUGAGAAGAAGGGACCUUGUCGUUUUUGUUCUAAAUUCCCAGUUCCCAAA